GUGCUUGUUUUGGCAACACAUAUACUAAAAUUAGAACAAUACAAAGAAAAUUAUCAUGGUCCCUGUCCUAGGAUGACACACAAAUUCAUGAAGCAUUCCAUAUUUUU